UAAACUUUAACCUUAAACUCUUAACCCUUGAUUAAUUAAAUAUUCCAAAAAGCCCAUUGGUUAGUUUUUUCCCGCCAAGGCCUUUAACCCCUUUGUCUAUGAGUAGAGUUCCACAUUUGGUUAGACUGUACAGGUAGUGGUAGAAGGAUAUUUCUUACAGGAUUUGGAAUCACUGACAAUCGUAUUACAAUAGAGAUUAUUACCAAUAUAUCACUCGAAUCUAUUUGGAAAGGAUUCAGCCCAUAGUUGAAUGCAUGGUGAAGAUAACGAACAGUGAUCAAUCUCAUAACUCCUACAAGCAAUACAAAAUAGAUAGUUGGGCAAACACGGACCCCUAAUAAUAAGUAAACA